rnacentral:rRNA from 1 species
UACGUAGGGAGCAAGCGUUGUCCGGAAUUAUUGGGCGUAAAGAGCUCGUAGGCGGUUUGUCGCGUCUGCUGUGAAAACUGGAGGCUCAACCUCCAGCCUGCAGUGGGUACGGGCAGACUAGAGUGCGGUAGGGGAGAUUGGAAUUCCUGGUGUAGCGGUGGAAUGCGCAGAUAUCAGGAGGAACACCAAUGGCGAAGGCAGAUCUCUGGGCCGUAACUGACGCUGAGGAGCGAAAGCAUGGGGAGCGAACAGG